GAUGAACGCUGGCGGCGUGCCUAAUACGUGCAAGUCGAGCGCGAGAAUGAGGAGCUUGCUCCUCAUAAUCGAGCGGCGGACGGGUGAGUAACACGUAGGCGACCUACCCUUGAGAUUGGGAUAACUACCGGAAACGGUAGCUAAUACCGGAUACGACUUUUCCAACCAAGUGGACUUGUUAAAAGGCGGAUUUAUCUGCUGCUCAUGGAUGGGCUGGCGGGGCAUUAGCUAGUUGGUGGGGUAGUGGCUCACCAAGGCGACGAUGCAUAGCCGACCUGAGAGGGUGAUCGGCCACACUGGGACUGAGACACGGCCCAGACUCCUACGGGAGGCAGCAGUAGGGAAUCUUCCGCAAUGGACGCAAGUCUGACGGAGCAACGCCGCGUGAGUGAUGAAGGGUUUCGGCUCGUAAAACUCUGUUGUUAAGGAAGAACACUUGAGGUAGUAACUGGCCUUGAGAUGACGGUACUUAACCAGAAAGCCACGGCUAACUACGUGCCAGCAGCCGCCGUAA
rnacentral:rRNA from 1 species